AGAGUUUGGUAUCCUCGCGUCAGGAUGAACGACUGGCGGCGACUUGCUUAACUACGAUAGCAAGUUCGAACCGGGAAAGUGGGUGGUUUUCCACGUAGGCGAACGGGUAGGAGUAAACGCCGUAAGAACCUGCCCUUCGGGUAGGGGGAACGAACAAACUGGAAACGGUUAGCUAAUACCCCGUACGGCUGAGGAGCAAAAGGAGAAAUACCGCCCAACGGAGGGGGCUCGCGUCUGGAUUAGCUAGUUGGUGAGGCAAUAGCUUACCAAGGCGAUGAUCAGUAGCUGGUCCGAGAGGAUGAUCAGCCACACUGGGACUGAGACACGGCCCAGACUCCUACGGGAGGCAGCAGUGGGGAAUUUUCCGCAAUGGGCGAAAGCCUGACGGAGCAAUGCCGCGUGGAGGUGGAAGGCCUACGGGUCGUCAACUUUCUUUUCUCGGAGAAGAAACAAUGACGGUAUCUGAGGAAUAAGCAUCGGCUAACCCUGUG
rnacentral:rRNA from 1 species